CUGCAGAACUCAUCACGAGAGAAACGACAGCACGGGAGCUGUCGAGGCGAGGGCACGGGGAAUUCCCCCGCUUGAAAUGUCAAGCACCAAGGCCAGGCGUCUUCUAGGAAGGCACGUCUCCGUGUAGGGAUGGUGGCUGGCCGCCAGCUCCAAGAGGAGGGCAGGAGGAAGAGCUGCCUUCUCUCAUCGCAGUCGUUUGAAGAGGUGGUCCGUCUUCCAAAGCAAUAAUGCUUAGGUGAACCACUUAAGGGCAAGGCGCUCCUACGGCCAAAGCCAUCCGAACCGUUGGGUCUGAAGGAGGGUGCUCCAUAAAGGAGAAAGAGGAACGGCUUCCCAAGAGCCAUUCUCCGCUCUCCGUGGGCACUGCAGGACCUCGGGCUUUCCGGUGGACCCGGAACAAAACCCCACAGCUUAAGCGUGGUGAACGGCUGCUGACACCUGGUGGUGAGGUCCACGGGCCAACCCGGAGGAUGGAGGCACCUGUAGGAGUUCUUGCGGGCAACGUCUGCAGAGCGAUGGGGUACAGAGAAAGACCGCAGCUGCAAAUGAGGAGCUCAAAACUGUCACACGAAGCGGCUGUGGGAGAAGCGACGCGGCGGCUUUAGGAGCCAUCAUCUGUAUGUUGAACACCACUGUGGCCCUUUCCGUUAUCGCGUGAUGGGUGUUCUGAUCUACCGGGCUGCUUUGUCAGUUGCUUUGGAUGUACGCAAGCUUACUCGGCGCCAUCCCCCCAGGUGACUUCGAUGCAAGCAACUCAUUUCACGAUUGGGGCGUUCGCCCAUUCAUUCCACCCCAUUCAGUGGUGGAGCUGAAGAGGUGUCGUUAACUUCUCCUACAGCAUGGAAACAAACCUCCCACCGCAGCUGCUCGGGAUAGGGGAAAGCAUCCAGCAAGCCAAGGCGCUUGGGGAAAAGGAGGCAGCUCCAGACAAAGCAUCUCUUCCGAGGCUUUAAAGUCCAUUUGAUGUCUGCUUGCAAAUGGGAGGAAUCAUUACGAAUGCAUGUGAAGCGAUUAGCAAACAUCCACAUCUAUUAGGCAUAAAGGAAAAAUAACCAGACCGAAAUAGCUGUCAGAAUGGCUCCCUUUGCUCCUUUAUGUUAUUGGAGCUCAUCGUUUGCAGAAACUCAAUCUCGGCUCUUUAAAUGAGCAUAUGGUGGGGAAACAUGAGGGAAAGGCGAAACGUUUCUGCCCGGCUUCAGGCGCAGAGCAGGCUUUGCGCGAUCAGAGCAGGGAGGUUGCCGAACGUAAACACAGUAAUUAAGGCACUCAUCCUAAUUGCAGGCAGUUAAUUGCGCUGUACGCUGCAUAAUUGAGCCACCCUGGGCAGCGCGUGGCUGGAAAUCCCUCGUGCGUUCUUUAGUCCGACUCCUAUAGGAUCCUCCAUACCCGCGCUGGCUUUUCAUCCUCGCUCAACUCUUUGGUAUUAGAACUGGGCCCCGAACCUUCGUUUUCUUACAGUGAAACGUAUUCACACGAGAAACACCGCUGCGGGACUCGGCCCCCCCCCCAGGGAAAGCAGAAGCUCCAGCGCGGGGCUGGGGACUAGAAGAGCCCCGUUAUGUGCUACGGAACAAAGGGAACAUCGAGCGAGAAGCCACCUCGCUUCGCAGAGCACCCCGGCUCCCGCUCCAGCUGCUCCGUGCCGGGGGAGCAGCAGCACUGAGCCCUCCCGGGUCCCGCAGAGCUGCAAAGGAGCACGAGGGGCAGGUGCAGAGAGUGCAGGCGUAAGGAGGAGCCGGCAGCACCGCCGGACCGCAGGUUGUCAGACAGACCCCGCCAUCCCAUAACGUUAGGGUUGCAGAGAUGCAUCAGCAUCACUCCGGACGGCUUCUCUGCCGCCGUAGGCCAACGCUUUGCUCAAGCACGUGAAUGUAACAGACAGAACUCCCCCCUCAACCCGCCGUGCUUUGAAACGCACCCAGCAACACCUGUCCCCAGCAGAGCCAGCCCUGCCCCACGUCGGAGCUGGGUUCCGUCGGGCUGGGUCUGGAGGUGCCGGCCAGCAUCUCUGCACGACAGCGAGCCUGAGAAGCUAAUUAGCGCCCGUUUGCUGCUUUCAGAGAGGAGAUUCUGAGCGCUGGUGGUAAACUCAUUUCAAGGAGUCGCACUCAAUUUGCAGCGAUGGAUGCUCAUCGUGGCUUUGUUCCCUCAUCUACAAAGAGCAGCGCCGCAGAGGGGCUUUGAUGAUCCCUCUCGUUUGGACAGCUGGCAGGGAGCAGGAUGCACGCAGGAAUAGAAGGGCACAGGGGAGCCACGGCGUCCCCUUCACGAGAGCAAACGGAGAGGCUGGGCGUCUGUAAAGUGGGGGAUGUGGGGUUCUAUCCUAGUGAUGCAAUUGGAAAGUGAAAGCUCUCGCACUGCGUGGGAGAGCAGAAAUCCGCUCUGCGUCUUGAAAUAGUUGCACGUGAAGUCCUGCCCUCAACUCGCGACCUGCAACCUGCACGGCAUGGCUCUCGAGAGCCCAUUGUAGGGGCGGUUGUUGCACUGCUGGGCUCCUCCAGCUCUUGGGGUCAGCGUGGCAUCGCACGCCCAGGGACGUCGGCGUCAGGGGGAGCCAAGCCCAGCAUCGUCAGCACAGCUGUCAGGGCCCCGGGUGGGCCCUAAUGAGGCCCCCAGGUGCCACAGGGCUGGGCUGCCCUAGCACAGCUGCGCCUUAUCGGCAGCUCAGGGCAGGGCCCGCCCUCAACGCCUCUUAAACCCCCACCAGAGCUUGCUGGGAUCCACUGGGGGCUGCUGGGAGCUCAGGGGCUCAUUCAGGGCUUGCUGCAGCAUGCUGCCAGGCUCCCACGCUGCUCUCUCUUUUUGGGGAGGGUGCUGGGCUUCUGCUGGGCUUUUUUGGGGUCUGUUUCUGCUGGGCUCCUCUGCUCUUUUGGAGUCAGCGUGGGGUGGCCCUGCUGGGCUCUGGCUGUGUUUUCUUCUUUUUGGUGGUGGUAUGGGAUUGCUGUUGGUGCCCCUGCCCUCUUUGGGUCCAGCACAGGGCUGCUCUUGGCUCCCCUCUGCUCCUUAGAGCCUAUGCAGCACUUUUGCAAAGCAGCUCUCCUAGCCCCUUUGUGGGGUUAGUUAAGGGCAGUUUGCAGGUGCUGCAGCAACGGAGGAGAGCAGAACGGAGCUGUGCCCCUUAGCCCGGAGCUGCUGGGGGUCAGAAGGUUCGCAAGGGGCUGCUUUCAAAACCCCAAAUGCUGGGGAUAUCCAUUUAAUCACGUUUGUUCUCUCUCCUUUUUGUUUCUCUCUUGCAGGGCGAGAGCUCCAGCGAGGAUCAGCCCGCAGUACCGAGCGGCUGUGGCAGCGAUGGGAGCGUGGAGCUGAGUCCCGGGGGUCCGGGAGAGCACGUUCCCUCGUGCCCAGACCUCGGGGGCUCUUUGCUUGCAGCAGGAGGAUCCUUCUGCCCUUCUAUUGGGGUCGAUGCAGUGCUGCUGCUGGGCUCCCCAUCUUCUUUUUCUGGGUUCUACUGGACUCCCCGAGGCUGAGCACAGCCCUGGGGGUGCCCACUGCCCCCCUUGGUUGCAGCAGCAGGGGCGUGCAGGAUGGAACCACGGUUGUCCCCUCCCCAGCCCUAUUGCUGCCGGGAGUAAGAAGCAAUGCCAGGGACAGCUAAGUUGAAAGCAGUGCUUUAAAUCACUUGCUGUGCUUUUAUCUUUUUGAUUUCCCCAAAAAGCUGUUGCAAGGUAAGGCGCUUUGCAGCAGGGAUCAGCCCAGAGAUGCAAGGUUCCCGCUGCACUGGGACUGCAGAGACGAGCACUGGGAUGUGGCGGUGUGAAUCUUUAGUUUUACUCAUGAAUUUUGUUCACAGAACCACAGGAUUGUAGGUGCUGGAAGGGACCUCCGGAGGUAAUGAAGUUAACCCCUCUGCAAACUGCAUCAUAGAGGUGCUCCAGGCCCUGCAUCGUCUUUGUGGCCUUCUGCCGGACUCCUUCCAGGAGAUCCCUCUCUUUGUUUGUACUGAGGAGCCUGGAAUGGGAUGCAGUACUGCAGGUGUGUAGCUCUGCAGCUUGUCCAGGUCCUGUGGAAUGGCAGCACAGCCUUCCGGUGCAUCAGCUGCUCUUCCAAGGUAGAUGACAUUGGCUCUCUCCUCCAUCUGCAUGCCUGGCGAUGCCAUUGUGGAAGACACCGAGGGCCUUGGUUUGUGGGUUCCACUACAGCAGCAGCCCCUCAGAGGAGGUUUGAGGAGCUGUUCUCGCCACAGGGGCAGGGCUGGAGCAAGGUCCUGGUGCAGUCUGUCUAAGGGAGGAAGGCUGCCAGCUGUGCCCUUGUCCCCUGUUGGGGUUGUGGGGUGAUGGAGCUGCUUUCUGCAGAAGGUGCAUGGCGUCCAGGAGGAGCUGAGGGGAUCUGGCAGCCAUUGGAUGUUUUGUGUUCCUGAUGGGAGCAGUGGCUUCUGUGAGCAGUGCCAAUUGUCCAGCUUUCCCAGGGUGUGGAGGAGCAGCAUGAUGGGGGCUCCCUGUGCGAGACCAAGGAUUUAAGCUGCUGCUGCUCGGAGUGGUGUGGUUCCCCUUCUGUCUGCAGUAAGCUUGAGGUGGCAGCAGAAGUGGUAGAUUUCAGAUAAUGUCUGCAGGAGAAGAGAACAUGCUUAGCAAGGCAACUCAUGAGGUUUGAUGUAAAGACAAAAGAAAUCUGGCACUCACCCUCUAAUGCUUGGAGAUCUGCUCUUCAUCCUCUGCUCCCUCGAAGCUGCUUCAUUUCAGGUACCCUUAUGCAUCUAGAAGAAAGCGAGUAGCUGCAUUGAAGAAUGUUUUCCAAUAUGUACAAGUUUGUACUGAUAUUGAUGGUUAAAUGUUAUUAAUAAAUGGGAAAGAAUAAAUAUUUGUUACAGCUGACUACUAUCAUUACACUGUGUCUCUACAUAAGAGUAUGUCUAUAUGUUGUUUCUUCUAGAAGCAUGCAAUACAGAACAAGGUGAGCACUGAGAAAGCUGUAGGUCCUGGGAGCUCUGCAGCGUCCCU
ensembl:lncRNA